UAUUUUUGUCAUCUUGUAUCAAGCCUCUUUAGACACAUCACAGUUUUAACUGUAUGCCCCUGGAUUGCAGCAGUUAAGACACAGUAUUUUAAGAAAUGUGAAUACGUAAGUGGAGCAUUGUUUAUUUAUAGGCAUAGGCUGUCUUUGUGUUGUUCGAGUGCAGCAGGGGUUUUUGGCAGUUGAUGCUGAUUGUGCCGUGUUUAAGACAUGAGCUUUAAACACCAUGUUUUUGCGCGUUUCAACUCCUUAACUGCAUUUUACGCUCGCUUUGCAGCUUUUCCUGGCUGUUUUUGAUUUUUUUUUUCUCAUGUAUUUUCAGCCAGAAAAUCUCAAGAAUUGCAAGUCAAGAUGUUUCUCAUAGUUGCGAUGAAUCCUUUCCAAACGCAGUCAUACAAUCUUCUCAGUGCUACGUCCUCCUCUGCAGGGCCAAAGAUGAGUCAAGAAGACAGAGCUGGUUCAGGAAUCCAACAUUUGGCAGAAUAUUUCUGCGGCUGCAAACAACCUCCGCGGCCUCCACGAGGGCAUUUGGAAAGGACCUCCAGGAGACCCUAACCUUACUGGUGCUGUUCGCUCUGUUUCCCAUCUGAGCUGGAUAUCAGUGUUGUUUAGAGGCUGAACCCCGCUGGAACGAGACAGCUGAACAUACCAGAGACUGGGCAGAAGCAAUGUGGACUAUUUAUUCCUCAGAUGACAGUGACAGAAGCCAGGCUGCUUGUGUUGUGACAAAUUCAAGUACAGGGCUGCUGCAGAUUAAACAGUUGUAAUCAUGCAAAUGACUCAAAACAUGGUGAGGUAUUAAUGUCAAAUAGCUGCGCUGAUUGUUUUCAAACCACAUCAGACUAACCCACGAGGACAACCAUCUUCUAGUUAUAGUUUUUCUGAGUGGGACAACCAUUACUGAGCCUGUUCAAGUGCGUAGGGUACAUUACAUUGGUUGUUAGUAAUAGUCUCACCUCAGUGUCCAUUUACUGUUGUAGAACUUUACAUCCUAUAAUAUGAUCUGUACCAGCACACAGACCCUGGCCUUUUGUCAGUGAAUUGUAGACACUGAAAUUUCCAUUACUGAGCAAUAGUUUGACAUUCUGGGUUGUUGUUUUAAAACCAGAUGUACCAGAUGGUCCUUAAAGGGAAACUUCGUUUUUUUUCAACCUAGGGUCUGUUUUCAUAUGUCUUUUCAUACAUGUGAGUGAUGGAGAAAUGAAUUUUCAACAUAGCUCCAGUAACCCUGUAACCCCCCGCCUCCCCCUACCACCCCUCUCUACCCACCACCCACCGCACCUUCCCCCGCCCGACGAGUUUCUCGAGUCUCGACAGGUUUUCCUGAGUUUCUCGAGUUUCCACCAGGUCGGAGGCAGAACAAGUUGUCAUGAAGAGGUGUUGAAGUCGGCAAGGAUGGAAUGACUUUUUACAGCGACUAGAAGGAAGACGACUAGAAGAACAGGUCUUUAACCAGCAUCUCUAAAAAUCCAUGGAGUCGGCUCCAGAGAAAUGAAGGGAGGUCAACUUUUAUCAACCUCCAUCCAGAUGUUCAACUUGACAUCUUUACUUUGAGAUUUUUAGCACCACAAACCUUUAGUAUCACACUUUAUUAUCAUUUAUUAGGACUUUAAUGGAAUCCACCAGCAGAUUUAGUUUUUGUUGAGAAACAUUAUUCUUGUCAUCGUGGAACUGCAGUAUUUAAAACUGUUCCUUCUAUUUGACCUCAUGUUUAUUAGUUUUAGUGGAGAAAGUUAUUUUAGUUUUCGAUUAGUCUCUUAAAAACCAAAUAAUAAAUUGGAUUAGUCAAGAGGUCUGGAACGUUGGAAAUCAGAGUAUCAGUAAUGUAAAUUUCCAACGAAAAUUUUGGGGGGGCACACAGGGUGGCCAAUCAGAUCACGGGGGGUGGGGGGGCACUGCCCCAUGAUUACAUGUUUACAUGUAAGACACUUAUGUCAGUGUCCUUGUUGUGUAGGACACUCAUCUACUUAAGACAUCACACUGUUCCCAUCCAGCCUUUUGUUUUGCAUUUUCUUCCUUCUUGCUUUAGAUUCUAGAUCAAUAUUGCAUUGUUCAGCAGUUUGUGCCACUUGUUUCCAGACCUCUUGAAAGUAGGUUUAUCCCUACAGUCUUUUUGAGUCAGUCAUACACAGUUUAACUAACAGGAAAAUACAGUUUGUAUCUUUUAUAGAAAAGCAGAUGCAUCAUAAAACGUCUACAUGCUUUUUACUGACACAAAUAUGAAACUUUGAAUUCUUUGAAAUUUUUAGAUCAGUGUCAACAUUUUCUCUGUAGCUAAAACUACUUGGUUGUAUUUGGUUGAAUGGAGGGUGGCUGUGCUGGAAAAGAUGAAGCCAUUGUUGAACAGAGCUCAUUUUAAUCUUCACUAGAGUUCGCCAGAAGGCAUGUGGAAGACUUUGAAGUCAACUGGAAGAAGGUUCUUUGGUCUGAUGAGACUUUUUUUUUUUCAAAAGUGGCUUUCUCUUUGCCAUUCUCCCAUGAAGCUUUGAAUGAUGAAAAACAGGCAACAGUUACUGUAUGCAGCCUUACCCAUGUCAGGUGCUGAAGCUUGUACUUCUUCAGAAAAAUCAUAGGUGUCUUGGUGGCUUCACUGGUCUCUUUCUUGCAUGGUCACUCAAUUUUUUAGGAUGGCCUGCUCUUGGUAGAUUUAUAUCCAUAUUUAUGUUUAUUUAUACAUUAUAUGUGCCACAUUCCUUAAUGAUGGAUUUAACUGUACUCCAAGUCAAAAUCAGUUUCUUUCCUUGUAUCCAUCCCCUGACUACUGAUUCACUAGUGACUGGACUUUCCAGAUACAAGUAUCUUUAUACUACAAUCACUUGAGACAUAUUCACUUCCCUCAGGUGUUGUCCAUUUCACUUAUUCUGACUUCUAACGCCAACUGACUGCACUUGUGUUCAACUGGAUGAGCCACUUUAACAGAGGCAAAUACUUAUACACUGUCUGAUUUUACAAUGUAUUUUUUUAUGUGUUUGCAUUUCUUUGGAGAAAUCUGUUUUCACUUUGACGUAAGAGUCUUAUUUUGCAAAUUCUUGUCCAGAGAGCCAAAUUAGAUUGACCAUGAUUUAAUGUUGCAAAGCAAUAAAAAGGAAACACUUCCAAGCAGGGUGAAUCCUUUUUAUAGACACUGUAUGUGCAUAGCCCUUUAAUCAGCUUCACUGCUGGUUGUGUGGUGUGGCCACACUUUGGUCUGUUGUGGCAAUGGCCACCCUGAACCACCACUCAGUUUGUCUUGUUGGUCUUUUCUAACGUGUAUUCUUUUUAUAUGUUUAAUGCUGGGUUUUUUAAUUUCAGAAUGUCUGUUGGAGCUAUUUUUUCGUGUUUAAGGAUCAAACUAUGUAAAAGCUAUGUAGUGUUGGCAACUGUUUCCCUUCUUUCCAGUGUGUAUGCUAAUCUUGACACUAAGUGAAAUGACAGUGCUUCAAUCUAACCAUUUAUCUCUCCAUAAGAAAGCCAAUUUCCCAAAAUGUCAAACUAUUCAAUUAAAGAUGUCUUGUUCAUAUAGA